AUUGAACGCUGGCGGCAUGCCUUACACAUGCAAGUCGAACGGUAACAUGUCUUCGUUUGCUGUCGGGUGGCGAACGGGUGCGUAAUACUUCCACACGUGUCCGAUCGCUGUGAAUACGGGAUCACAUGCUUUGCUAAUACCUCAUACGAUCUACUAUUGAAAGCCGGGUGCCGCAAUGCUUUGCGCCGACUUUGCUGCCACUGGUAGAUUGGGUAGCUGGUGGGUUAAAAGUUUAUCAAGCCGACGAUUUGCAGCUGUACUGAGAGGACGACCAGCCACACUGGAACUGAGACAAGGCCCAGACUCCUACGGGAGGCAGCAGUGGGGAAUUUUGGACAAUGGGCGAAAGCAUGAUCCAGCCAUGCCGCGUGAAGGAUGAAGGCCUUCGGGUUGUAAAAUGCUUUUGUAAGGAACGAAAAGACUCUUUAGAAAAAAGAGGGUCCAUGACGGUACCGUAAGAAUAAGCACCGGCUAACUACGUG
rnacentral:rRNA from 1 species